rnacentral:rRNA from 1 species
UGGGGAAUAUUGCACAAUGGGCGCAAGCCUGAUGCAGCCAUGCCGCGUGUAUGAAGAAGGCCUUCGGGUUGUAAAGUACUUUCAGCGGGGAGGAAGGGAGUAAAGUUAAUACCUUUGCUCAUUGACGUUACCCGCAGAAGAAGCACCGGCUAACUCCGUGCCAGCAGCCGCGGUAAUACGGAGGGUGCAAGCGUUAAUCGGAAUUACUGGGCGUAAAGCGCACGCAGGCGGUUUGUUAAGUCAGAUGUGAAAUCCCCGGGCUCAAACGGGGAAAUGCAUGGGAUACUGGCAAGCUGGAGUGUCGUAGAGGGGGGUAGAAUUCCAGGGGUAGGGGGGAAAUGCGUAGAGAUCUGGAGGAAAACCGGUGGGGAAGGCGGCCCCCUGGACGAAGACUGACGCUCAGGUGCGAAAGCGUGGGGGGGAAACAGG